rnacentral:lncRNA from 1 species
CGGAUAUGUUGACGUCGACUCCUGUUGACCUCUUCAGGUUCUCAUCGUGGGACACGACCACUUGCUCAUCUUUGGUCAGGUGACAGUCCAGCUCCAGCAUGUCCGUCCCUAUGUUAACAGCAUGGUGAAAGGCUGCCAUCGUGUUCUCCAGGUUCUCCCCAGCACCGCCGCGGUGCGAGAUGUGCCGGCAGCGGAAGCGCUGCCGCUUGGGCCGGUGGAGCAGCCCCGGGCACUUGAGGAGCAGCGCCGAGGUGAGGACGUAUCCUCCCAGCGUGGACAGCACGUAGAGCGUCGCCGACAUCCUGCGCUCCUCCGGCCGCUCCGAGCGCGUCCUCCG